AACUAGAAGUAGUUGAUAGCUUCCAUUACCUAGGUGACCAACUUAGCAGUGGAGGAGGAAGUUCUGAAAUUGUAGUUGCUAGAACAAGAAUGGGCUGGGCAAAGUUCAGAGAGCUUCUACCUUUGUUGGUAACUAAUGGCUUCUCCCUCAGAGUGAAAGGCAGACUGUAUGAUGCCUGUGUAUGU